rnacentral:rRNA from 1 species
AUUGAACGCUGGCGGCAUGCCUUACACAUGCAAGUCGAACGGCAGCACGGACUUCGGUCUGGUGGCGAGUGGCGAACGGGUGAGUAAUGCAUCGGAAUGUGCCAUUGAGUGGGGGGAUAACGUAGCGAAAGUUGCGCUAAUACCGCAUAUUCUGUGAGCAGGAAAGCAGGGGGACCGCAAGGCCUUGCGCUCUUUGAGCGGCCGAUGUCAGAUUAGCUAGUUGGUGAGGUAAAGGCUUACCAAGGCGACGAUCUGUAGCGGGUCUGAGAGGAUGAUCCGCCACACUGGAACUGAGACACGGUCCAGACUCCUACGGGAGGCAGCAGUGGGGAAUUUUGGACAAUGGGGGCAACCCUGAUCCAGCCAUGCCGCGUGAGUGAAGAAGG